rnacentral:lncRNA from 1 species
CUGGAAUUAAAAAAUGAACCAGGGAGAACGGAUUUGAAACACAUUGUUAUAGAUGGGAGCAAUGUUGCAAUUACCCAUGGUCUGAAAAAGUUCUUUUCUUGUCGUGGAAUUGCAAUUGCAGUUGAAUAUUUUUGGAAGCUUGGCAACAGAAACAUCACUGUAUUUGUCCCUCAGUGGAGAACAAGGCGUGAUCCUAAUGUCACAGAACAGCACUUCUUAACCCAGCUCCAGGAGCUCGGAAUAUUAUCUUUAACUCCUGCCCGGAUGGUCUUUGGAGAAAGAAUUGCUUCUCAUGAUGACAGGUUUCUACUACACUUAGCGGACAAAACUGGUGGCAUAAUUGUGACAAAUGAUAAUUUCAGAGAAUUUGUGAAUGAGUCAGUCUCUUGGAGAGAAAUUAUUACAAAAAGGCUGCUGCAGUACACGUUCGUGGGGGACAUAUUUAUGGUUCCCGAUGAUCCUCUGGGAAGAAGUGGACCUCGAUUAGAGGAGUUUCUUCAGAAGGAAGUCUGUCUUAGAUAUGCAGCCCCUACUCAGUGCCCUGCCAAAUGUGGGCAUGUUUGACCCCAGCUUCAGAGUCCCUGGCACCCAGGCAGCCAGCACCAGCCACCAGCCUCCGACCCGGAUUCAGGGAGCCCCUUCAAGCCACUGGCUCCCUCAGCAGCCCCACUUCCCACUGCUGCCAGCCCUCCCCAGUCUCCAGCAGAACCUGCCCAUGCCAGCUCAGAGAUCUUCUGCAGAAACCAACGAGCUGAGGGAAGCCCUUCUGAAGAUCUUCCCUGACUCAGAGCAAAGACUGAAAAUAGACCAGAUCUUGGUGGCCCACCCAUACAUGAAAGAUCUAAAUGCGCUUUCUGCCAUGGUGUUGGAUUGAAGAUUGUGCUGAGCGCUGAGCUUGCGCUCAGGGCUGGCUGAUCAAACUCAAGCUCACACCUGUACCUGAUGGGAAUGAACAUAAUGUGAAGAAACUUAUUUCCCAGUGUAAACGCAGUUGUACAGAAAAAAAAUGUUUUGGGUAUAAAUCUGGGUUUUCAAAACCAGCUUUUUUCUAUAUAUAAAUUAUGCUGCUAUUACAGAUUUAACAUUUUCUGUUAAAGGAAAGUCUACAUUUUCUGCCUGUUCAGAACUGUUUAAUAGCAGUUACUCUUGAGUGUAUUUACCUUUUUAUGUUUUUUAAACUAUUUUCCUUAAAGCCGAAAAUAUUGACAAAUGGAUAUGGUUAGCC